rnacentral:lncRNA from 1 species
CUCCCUAAUCCCGCUGUCUCCGCAGUGGGCGCAUGUGAGCAUCAUGGGCAGGUCACAAUGGGAGAUGAUCUUGGCAAGAAAGCUGACUGCAUCGUCGACAAGGCUGGCCUCCAAAUCCGCUCUCGACUCCGGGGACGCAUCGGCCGAGCCUGGCGCGUAUGUGAGCUGCAGACAAAAGAACAUGCGGCUGACAACGGCGGUCAGAAACGCUUGCAGCUCCUUGCCAGGAUUCU